GUCCACGCUGUAAACGAUGAUUACUAGGUGUAGGGGGACGCAGGUCUUCUGUGCCGGAGCUAACGCAAUAAGUAAUCCGCCUGGGGGAGUACGGCCGCAAGGUUGAAACUCAAAAGGAAUUGACGGGGGCCCGCACAAGCAGCGGAGCAUGUUGUUUAAUUCGAAGCAACGCGAAUAACCUUACCAGGUCUUGACAUCCACUGAAUCCUGCAGAGAUGCGGGAGUGCCGCAAGGAACAGUGAGACAGGUGGUGCAUGGUUGUCGU
rnacentral:rRNA from 1 species